GACGAACGCUGGCGGCGUGCCUAAUACAUGCAAGUCGAACGCAGUGGGGACGGGUGGGUAACACGUGGGUAACCUCCCAUCAGAGGGGAUAACACUUGGAAACAGGUGCUAAACCGAUACUAGUAGAUGGACCCGCGGUGCAUUAGCUAGUUGGUGAGGUAACGGCUCACCAAGGCCACGAUGCAUAGCCGACCUGAGAGGGUGAUCGGCCACACUGGGACUGAGACACGGCCCAGACUCCUACGGGAGGCAGCAGUAGGGAAUCUUCGGCAAUGGACGAAAGUCUGACCGAGCAACGCCGCGUGAGUGAAGAAGGUUUUCGGAUCGUAAAACUCUGUUGUUAGAGAAGCGGUAUCUAACCAGAAAGCCACGGCUAACUACGUGCCAGCAGCCGCGGUAAUUC
rnacentral:rRNA from 1 species